rnacentral:rRNA from 1 species
CACAUGCAAGUCGAACGGCAGCACAGCAGUAGCAAUACUGUGGGUGGCGAGUGGCGGACGGGUGAGGAAUACGUCGGAAUCUGCCCAGUCGUGGGGGAUAACUAGCCGAGAGGUUAGCUAAUACCGCAUACGACCGAGAGGUGAAAGCGGGGGACCGCAAGGCCUCGCGCGAUUGGAUGAGCCGACGUCGGAUUAGCUAGUUGGCGGGGUAAAGGCCCACCAAGGCGACGAUCCGUAGCUGGUCUGAGAGGAUGAUCAGCCACACUGGAACUGAGACACGGUCCAGACUCCUACGGGAGGCAGCAGUGGGGAAUAUUGGACAAUGGGCGCAAGCCUGAUCCAGCAAUGCCGCGUGUGUGAAGAAGGCCUUCGGGUUGUAAAGCACUUUUAUCAGGAACGAAAAGCGUUGGAUUAAUACUCUGACGUGCUGACGGUACCUGAGGAAUAAGCACCGGCUAACUUCGUG